UCCCGGGCGACUCGGAGCGCAUAGAGU
rnacentral:piRNA from 1 species